AACGAACGCUGGCGGCAUGCCUAACACAUGCAAGUCGAACGAGUCCUUUCGGGUCUAGUGGCGCACGGGUGCGUAACGCGUGGGAAUCUGCCCUUUAGGUACGGGAUAACACAGGGAAACUUGUGCUAAUACCGUAUGAUGACGAAAGUCCAAAAGAUUUAUCGCCUAAGGAUGAGCCCGCGUAGGAUUAGCUUGUUGGUGAGGUAAAGGCUCACCAAGGCGACGAUCCUUAGCUGGUCUGAGAGGAUGAUCAGCCACACUGGGACUGAGACACGGCCCAGACUCCUACGGGAGGCAGCAGUGGGGAAUAUUGGACAAUGGGCGAAAGCCUGAUCCAGCAAUGCCGCGUGAGUGAUGAAGGCCCUAGGGUUGUAAAGCUCUUUUACCCGGGAAGAUAAUGACUGUACCGGGAGAAUAAGCCCCGGCUAACUCCGUGCCAGCAGCCGCGGUAAUACGGAGGGGGCUAGCGUUGUUCGGAAUUACUGGGCGUAAAGCGCACGUAGGCGGCUUUGUAAGUUAGAGGUGAAAGCCCGGGGCUCAACCCCGGAAUUGCCUUUAAGACUGCAUCGCUUGAACGUCGGAGAGGUGAGUGGAAUUCCGAGUGUAGAGGUGAAAUUCGUAGAUAUUCGGAAGAACACCAGUGGCGAAGGCGGCUCACUGGACGACUGUUGACGCUGAGGUGCGAAAGCGUGGGGAGCAAACAGAAUUAGAUACCCUGGUAGUCCACGCCGUAAACGAUGAUAACUAGCUGUCUGGGCUCUUGGAGCUUAGGUGGCGCAGCUAACGCAAUAAGUUAUCCGCCUGGGGAGUACGGCCGCAAGGUUGU
rnacentral:rRNA from 1 species